AUCUAGUCGACGAGUCCUAAGUAGGACGAAACGUGCGUCCUGGAC
rnacentral:hammerhead_ribozyme from 1 species